AGCUCCAAUAGCGUAUAUUAAAAUUGUUGCAGUUAAAAAGCUCGUAGUUGGAUUUCUGGCUUGGUGCGCGCCGUCCGCUGCGGUUACGUAGUGUGUGCGGUUGUGCGCCUGCCAUCUUUCUAGACAUCAGCUGCGCCCUUCACUGGGUGGCAGGUGGUGGCUGGAUCUUUUACUUUGAAAAAAUUAGAGUGUUCAAAGCAGGCUUGCGCUAUGAAUACAUUAGCAUGGAAUAAUAAUUUAGGACUUCUGUUCUAUUUUGUUGGUUUCUAGGAUGGAAGUAAUGAUUGAUAGGGAUAGUUGGGGGUGCUAGUAUUCAGCGGCCAGAGGUGAAAUUCUCGGAUUCGCUGAAGACUAACUUAUGCGAAAGCAUUCACCAAGGAUGUCUUCU
rnacentral:rRNA from 1 species